UUUUUUUAGUUCUGGAAGCAGCUAAACAAUGAUUUCCUGCAGGGGGUAUCAGCCUUUCAUAUUUUCUGCCUGCUUCUCUGACAGCCUUCAGGCCCCAGGUCAGUGAGUGGCAAGCCAGGCCCAGAGAGCUCUGGACCCACUGGAAUAUCCCCUUCUCGGAAGCUGGGAAAGGCCAUGAUGUUUCACCUCUCCCCAGCAAACUGGGACCUGCCCUGGAAGAAGAAACCAGACCAGACAUGAUUCAGCCAUCAGCCCUCAGUGACAGUCAACCUCCAGGGACACAGCAUUUUGGAGGCCACUCUUGGAGGGUGGAUAGUGGGCAAUUGGGACUUGGCGUGCACCUGUCGCUGUCUCCAAAAUUCCUCCUCUACUCCACCGACUCUUCUCCUCACCCAGCCUCCUUCGUGAGCUGGAGGUGGCCAGAUCUUCUCAGGCGUGAAAACAAGAUUCACUGCAAGUAUCCCAACAUUGGAUUCCUGUUAACUGCAAGAGCAGCUUAUCGAUCAACAUGGGAUGUCCAGCAGGGCAGAAGCAGACAUGUGUCUGCCCCACCAGUGAGUCAACCCCAGGUCAGCCCUAAGAGUUGGAGCUCAGGUGGGUGGGAGCUGCACUCACUUGAAAUGAGGAACACUG
rnacentral:lncRNA from 1 species